GAGUUUGACCGUGGCUCAGAUUGAACGCUGGCGGCAGGCUUAACACAUGCAAGUCGAGCGGGGGAGGUUGCUUCGGUAACUGACCUAGCGGCGGACGGGUGAGUAAUACUUAGGAAUCUGCCUAUUAAUGGGGGACAACAUCUCGAAAGGGAUGCUAAUACCGCAUACGCCCUACGGGGAAAGCAGGGGAUCACUUGUGACCUUGCGUUAAUAGAUGAGCCUAAGUCGGAUUAGCUAGUUGGUGGGGUAAAGGCCUACCAAGGCGACGAUCUGUAGCGGGUCUGAGAGGAUGAUCCGCCACACUGGGACUGAGACACGGCCCAGACUCCUACGGGAGGCAGCAGUGGGGAAUAUUGGACAAUGGGGGGAACCCUGAUCCAGCCAUGCCGCGUGUGUGAAGAAGGCCUUAUGGUUGUAAAGCACUUUAAGCGAGGAGGAGGCUCUUCUAGUUAAUACCUAGGAUGAGUGGACGUUACUCGCAGAAUAAGCACCGGCUAACUCUGU
rnacentral:rRNA from 1 species